GGGCGCUUGAGACUAUCUGUCUCUGGCGCGCUGGAGCAGAUAGAAGAAAGCCCCAAAUGAUCUUUCAAUCAAUUUGAGGCCUAUCUAUGCUUGACAACAUAAGAUUAGCCUCUUACACGCCGAAAGGCAAGGAGACGCUAACCAUG
rnacentral:antisense_RNA from 1 species